UACAGAGACUGCAAGCGUUAUUCGGAUUCAUUGGGCGUAAAGCGCGUGUAGGCGGUCCGGUAAGUCCGCUGUGAAAGUCGGGGGCUCAACCCUCGGAUGCCGGUGGAUACUGUCGGGCUUGAGUACGGAAGAGGCGAGUGGAAUUCCUGGUGUAGCGGUGAAAUGCGCAGAUAUCAGGAGGAACACCAGUUGCGAAGGCAGCUCGCUGGGACGUUACUGACGCUGAGACGCGAAAGCGUGGGGAGCAAACAGG
rnacentral:rRNA from 1 species